CCUGGACAUAAAGGGCUUCGUAGCUACCAUGUCGGCUAGAACUUUGAGUUCCCUGAAAAGAACGACCCAGUGAAGAGGAAUGCAACUCAGGCCUGUGAUCCGUCAUCCCAUAUUCACAACCACUGAAGACAUAUGUGGAUCCAGAAUCUUUAUGGGUCAGGCAAGAGUCGUCUAUUCCUGCUCAGAUAGCACUGGGACAAGAAGGAAACAGCAUAGUUCUGUAAAUAAUCAGAAGCGUCUUGUCAGGGUGAGCCCUGGAUGUGAUAAGAGGAGGAACCAACAGACCCCAUCGUUGGGGGAGAGUGCUUUCCUUCCCCCUGAGACUUUCAAUGCCCAGGCCUAACAGCCUUGACUCUGCUGUCAGUGUUGCUCUCAGAAGACCGUGUCUAGACCCCAGUGCUUACUUGACUCCAGCAUAACCACGUUUCCCAAUCAUCCUCCCUUUUCCCCAGCCAAGCUUGUCCAAAACUUUUAAUCUCACUUCUGAAAUCUCUUUUGUUUGCCAAGAAUAGAAUCUCCUAUUUCAAAUCCACUCCUUUUUAAAUUUUUUUUGUAAUG